AAGGCGAGGCCGAAAGGCGUAGUCGAUGGGAAACAGGUUAAUAUUCCUGUACUUGGUGUUACUGCGAAGGGGGGACGGAGAAGGCUAUGUUGGCCGGGCGACGGUUGUCCCGGUUUAAGCGUGUAGGCUGGUUUUCCAGGCAAAUCCGGAAAAUCAAGGCUGAGGCGUGAUGACGAGGCACUACGGUGCUGAAGCAACAAAUGCCCUGCUUCCAGGAAAAGCCUCUA
rnacentral:rRNA from 1 species